AUUGAACGCUGGCGGAAUGCUUUACACAUGCAAGUCGAACGGCAGCACGGACUUCGGUCUGGGGGCGAGGGGCGAACGGGGAAGUAAUGUAUCGGAACGUGCCCAGUCGUGGGGGAUAACGUAGUGAAAAUUACGCUAAUACCGCAUACGAUCUAUGGAUGAAAGCGGGGGAUCGCAAGACCUUGCGCGAUUGGACCGGCCGAUAUCAGAUUAGGUAGUUGGUGGGGUAAAGGCCCGCCAAGCCAACGAUCUGUAGCGGGUCUGAGAGGACGACCAGCCACACUGGAACUGAGACACGGUCCAGACUCCUACGGGAGGCAGCAGUGGGGAAUUUUGGACAAUGGGCGAAAGCCUGAUCCAGCCAUUCCGCGUGCAGGAUGAAGGCCCUCGGGUUGUAAACUGCUUUUGUACAGAACGAAAAGGUUUCUACUAAUACUAGGAGCUCAUGACGGUACUGUAAGAAUAAGCACCGGCUAACUACGUGCCAGCCGCCGCGGUAA
rnacentral:rRNA from 1 species